UGGUGGUGGACACCUGCAAUCCCAGUUAUUUGGGUGGCUGAGGCAUGAGAAUUGCUUGAACCUGGGAGGCGGAGGUUGCAGUGAGCCGAGAUCAUGCCACUGCACUCCAGGCUGGGCGACAGAGCAAGACUCUGUCUCAA